rnacentral:rRNA from 1 species
UACGAAGGGGGGCUAGCGUUGUUCGGAAUCACUGGGCGUAAAGCGCACGUAGGCGGAUCUUUUAAGUCAGGGGUGAAAUCCCGAGGCUCAACCUCGGAACUGCCUUUGAUACUGGGGGAUCUCGAGUCCGGGAGAGGUGAGUGGAACUGCGAGUGUAGAGGUGAAAUUCGUAGAUAUUCGCAAGAACACCAGUGGCGAAGGCGGCUCACUGGCCCGGAACUGACGCUGAGGCACAAAGCGUGGG